CUUAUAUUCUUUUGAGUUCAAUAACCACAGCCCAAAAUAUUUUUUUUUAAACACAGCCCAGUAUAUGGAUAUAAUUCUAAUACGAAAUAUCAUUAGUUAUGGUUGAAAAUUUUACAUCCAACGUUUCAGUUUUGAACCUAAUAUGAAGGAAAAAGAAACAUGAAAAUUUUUUAUCACUGGUUCCCAAACAUAGUGGAGCUUCAACUAUUGGAGUCUUCCGACCGAUCUCAUGCUGCAAUAAACUAACAAGCUCAUCUCAAGAUAGUGGUAAAACGCCUC
rnacentral:lncRNA from 1 species